CAGAUAUUAGCUCAAUAGAGAGCAUCCACUUUACACGUAGAAGGUUAAGUAUUUAAAUCAUAUAUAAUUAG